rnacentral:rRNA from 1 species
CUACGGGGUGCUCCAGUAAGGAAUAUUGCACAAUGGGGGAAACCCUGAUGCAGCAACGCCGCGUGGACGAAGAAGGCCUUCGGGUCGUAAAGUCCUUUUCUGAGGGAAGAGGAAGGACGGUACCUCAGGAAUAAGUCUCGGCUAACUACGUGCCAGCAGCCGCGGUAAAACGUAGGAGGCGAGCGUUAUCCGGAUUCACUGGGCGUAAAGGGCAAGUAGGCGGUUGUUUAAGUUAGGUGUGACAUCUCUCGGCUUAACUGGGAGGGAGCGCUUAAAACUAGGCAACUAGAGGGCGGAAGAAGGGGGUAGAACUCCAAAUGUAGCGGUGGAAUGCUCAGAUAUUUGGAAGAAUACCAGUGGCGAAGGCGACCCCCCGGUCCGUGCCUGACGCUGAGAGGCGAAAGCUAGGGUAGCGAACGGAUUAGAUACCCGAGUAGUC